GCCACCCCCNGAAACACACAGCGGGGGGGGGGGGAGGCUAAUUCAUCCUAGGCCCCGGCUGGGCCCCGGAGGGGAGAGAGGCCCCACAGUCACAAGGCGGUUCAUCUUGCCCAGGACAGGAGAGCGGCUGGCACCCGGGGUAGGGGCUUGAGGAAAUAUCACAAAACCCCACCGCCCAGAGGGUGGCCCAACAAAAGCCUUUUUCGAAAGGCCCCUUUGUAGCGGACCCCUUCUCGGGGUUCAGACGCCUGAAACCGGACAAAUUGAAAGCCAGAGUGGCCAUUUGGAGAAAAUGACUUCUUACUUUGGGACAGCAGAAAAUGUCUGGAAAGAAAUAUCAGACGAAGAUCUUACAAAGAAUGAAAACACUAAUUUCUCAAGAAUUCUAUUUAACUCCGAAAGUGGCUCAGGCAUGCAGGAUGAUCAAAAACAUCCCAGACUCCUCUCUUCAUAAACAUUCCAGCGGCCGUAUGUGUUUAGGCGAACGGACGCCUCUGCGGAGUUGAGGAGAGAAGCCCUUUUCGCUCUGAGAAUCAUGUCACCUCCUCUGUCCCAUUUCAGCCCAUGGAGUUCUUUUGACAGACAGCAUGAACAAAUCUGCAUAAGGAAAAGUAAGUGACAGCUGGGGUCAGACUCUCUCUGUUUAAUGACACUGCCAGUUACACAUUUUGAAUUGUUUAAAUAUGA
rnacentral:lncRNA from 1 species